AUUGAACGCUGGCGGCAUGCUUUACACAUGCAAGUCGAACGGCAGCACGAAAGAGCUUGCUCUUUUGGUGGCGAGUGGCGAACGGGUGAGUAAUGCAUCGGAACGUACCGAGUAAUGGGGGAUAACUAUCCGAAAGGAUAGCUAAUACCGCAUACGCUUUGAGAAGGAAAGUGGGGGCUCUUCGGACCUCACGUUAUUCGAGCGGCCGAUGUCUGAUUAGCUAGUUGGUGGGGUAAAGGCCUACCAAGGCGACGAUCAGUAGCGGGUCUGAGAGGAUGAUCCGCCACACUGGGACUGAGACACGGCCCAGACUCCUACGGGAGGCAGCAGUGGGGAAUUUUGGACAAUGGGCGCAAGCCUGAUCCAGCCAUGCCACGUGUCUGAAGAAGGCCUUCGGGUUGUAAAGGACUUUUGUUAGGGAAAGAAAAAGGAUAAGUGUA
rnacentral:rRNA from 1 species